AUGGAGGAUCUUACAGAAUUCACAACAUAUGAUGGAGAAUACCACCCUACUCACAAGCUUUUGCUGGAUCCAGCCAAUUAUGUGGCAAUUGAAGCCGACCUGAUAUUUGCUUGUCUGGCUGGCUUAAGGAGAUCAUCCAAGGAAGAGGUCUUUGAUGAUGUGGAGGACCGCAUAGCUGUGGGCAUCCGUGUUAUGGUGAUCACAGGAGACAACAAAGAAACUACUGAGACGACAUGCCAUGAAAUUGGUGUAUUUUCACCUGAUGAAGACAUUAGCUUGAAGAGCUUUACAGGGAGGGGGUUCAUGGCACUUGAGGAUAAAAAGACACUUCUGCAAAAGAAAUGUGGCCUUCUGUUAUCUAGGGCAGAUCCUAGACACAAACAAGAGAUCAUUAGGCUAUUAAAAGAAGACCGUGCAGUUAUUUCUAUGACUGGAGAUGGAGUAAAUGAUGGCCCUGCUCUAAAACUAGCUGGCAUUGGUAUAGCAAUGGGUAUUCCCGGCACUGUGUACAUUCUUACUCACCACACAACCCCACACCGGAGUGAGAUCCAUAGCAGAGUGAGAAAAGUUUUGGGCCCCUGCGUCACGAAUUGA
rnacentral:rRNA from 1 species